GCCAGCGUAGCUCAGUGGUAGAGCAGCGGUUUCGUAAACCGCUGGUCGUCAGUUCGACUCUGACCGCUGGCUCCA
rnacentral:tRNA from 1 species